CAAUAGCGUAUAUUAAAGUUGUUGCAGUUAAAAAGCUCGUAGUUGGAUUUCUGGUGGGAGCGAUCGGUCUGGCGCUUAGCGCGAGUACUUGCAUCGUCUCCGGCCAUCCUUGGGGAGAGUCUGUCUGGCAUUAGGUUGUCGGGCAGAGGAUCCUCAUCGUUUACUGUGAAAAAAUUAGAGUGUUCAAAGCAGGCUUAUGCCGUUGAAUAUAUUAGCAUGGAAUAAUAAGAUAGGACUUUGGUACUAUUUUGUUGGUUUGCGCACCAAAGUAAUGAUUAAUAGGGACAGUUGGGGGUAUUCGUAUUCCUUUGUCAGAGGUGAAAUUCUUGGAUUUACGGAAGACGAACUACUGCGAAAGCAUUUACCAAGGAUGUUUUCAUUAA
rnacentral:rRNA from 1 species